rnacentral:rRNA from 1 species
CCUACGGGAGGCAGCAGUAGGGAAUAUUGGGCAAUGGAGGCAACUCUGACCCAGCCAUGCCGCGUGCAGGAAGAAGGCGUUAUGCGUUGUAAACUGCUUUUAUAUAGGAAGAAAUAGUCCUUGCGAGGAAAGUUGACGGUACUAUAUGAAUAAGCACCGGCUAACUCCGUGCCAGCAGCCGCGGUAAUACGGAGGGUGCAAGCGUUGUCCGGAUUUAUUGGGUUUAAAGGGUGCGUAGGCGGUUUAUAAGUCAGUGGUGAAAGACGGUCGCUCAACGAUUGCAGUGCCAUUGAUACUGGUAGACUUGAGUGGGAUUGAGGUAGCUGGAAUGGAUAGUGUAGCGGUGAAAUGCAUAGAUAUUAUCCAGAACACCAAUUGCGUAGGCAAGUUACUAAGUCUCAACUGACGCUGAGGCACGAAAGUGUGGGUAUCAAACAGGAUUAGAUACCCUGGUAGUCCACACUGUAAACGAUGAUAACUACUGUUGCUUUCGGUCAGUGUACAGAGAAUCGUUAAGUUAUCCACCUGGAGACGCGCGACGAGAACGUACGAGUAGUAGUAGUACGCGUGAGACGUAGCGACGGACGACGACGAGGGAGGAGG